rnacentral:rRNA from 1 species
CUUGACCCGUCUUGAAACACGGACCAAGGAGUCUAACAUGCGCGCGAGUCAUUGGGCGGUACGAAACCCAAAGGCGCAGUGAAAGCGAGGGUCGUCUCACGACAACCCAGGUGGGAUCCUCCCUCCCAAGAGCGAUCUGCGGAGGGUGGCGCACCACCGGCCCGUCCCGACUGCGUUGUCAGUGGGGCGGAGCAAGAGCGUGCACGCUGGGACCCGAAAGAUGGUGAACUAUGCCUGAGUAGAACGAAGCCAGAGGAAACUCUGGUGGAGGUUCGUAGCGAUUCUGACGUGCAAAUCGAUCGUCAAACUUGGGUAUAGGGGCGAAAGACUAAUCGAACCAUCUAGUAGCUGGUUCCUUCCGAA